rnacentral:rRNA from 1 species
GACGAACGCUGGCGGCGUGCCUAAUACAUGCAAGUAGAACGCACAGUUUAUACCGUAGCUUGCUACACCAUAGACUGUGAGUUGCGAACGGGUGAGUAACGCGUAGGUAACCUGCCUGGUAGCGGGGGAUAACUAUUGGAAACGAUAGCUAAUACCGCAUAAUAUUAAUUAUUGCAUGAUAAUUAAUUGAAAGGUGCAAUUGCACCACUACCAGAUGGACCUGCGUUGUAUUAGCUAGUAGGUGAGGUAACGGCUCACCUAGGCGACGAUACAUAGCCGACCUGAGAGGGCGAUCGGCCACACUGGGAGUGAGACACGGCCCAGACUCCUACGGGAGGCAGCAGUAGGGAAUCUUCGGCAAUGGACGAAAGUCUGACCGAGCAACGCCGCGUGAGUGAAGAAGGUUUUCGGAUCGUAAAGCUCUGUUGUAAGAGAAGAACGGGUGUGAGAGUGGAAAGUUCACACUGUGACGGUAUCUUACCAGAAAGGGACGGCUAACUACGUG